rnacentral:rRNA from 1 species
GUUGGAUAAGCCCUCCGUGAAAUCUACAGGCUUAACCUUGGAACUGCACUUUUAACUACCGGGCUAGAGUACGUCAGAGGGGGGUAGAAUUCCACGUGUAGCAGUGAAAUGCGUAGAGAUGUGGAGGAAUACCGAUGGCGAAGGCAGCCCCCUGGGAUGAUACUGACGCUCAUGCACGAAAGCGUGGGGAGCAAACAG